GAAAUUUAUUAUUUUUUAAUUUAUUUUAUUAUUAUUAUUAUUACAUUAUUGGUGCAAAUAAUAGAAUGGAAGAAAAAACUAAAAAAAAAUAAUUAUUGGGGUGAAUUAUUUAUAGCAUAGAAAAAAAAAAAAGUCAUUAGUUUAUUUUAGGGUAAACUUCAAAUACCAUCCAUAUAUUUUUGCAUUUUUUCACUUUAGUAUUCUAUAAUUUAAAGUGUAUUAAGUUAGUGUCCCGCAGUUUCAUUUUUAUUUUUUCUUCGGCUUCUCCGUUAAUAUUUCAUUAAAGAAAAAAUUUCAAAUACCAUUCAUGUAAUUUCACACUUUCUCACUUUAGUACUCUGUGGUUUAAAGUAUAUCAAUUUAGUGUCAUGUGGUUUAGUUUUACUUUUUUAUUAUCGAUUCUACUAAUUUUUUUUGUUAAAUCAGUGACAAAGUUAAAAUUAAAGAGUACUAAAGUGAAUAUUCGAUAAAUUUAAGUGUGGUAUCUCAAAUUUUUUUAUAUAUAAUUAAACGAAAUACUAAUGAAAAAGCUGACAAAAAGAUAAAAAUGAAACCACAGGACACUAACUUGAUACAUUUUAAACUACAGGCUACUGAAGUGAAAAAGUGUGAAACCACAGGGGUAGUAUUUGAAGUUUACCCUUUAUUAAAUUAUAUACAAAAAACUUACUCCGUCUAGAUUUAUCGAAUAUUCACUUUAAUAUCCUUUAGUUUUAAUUUUGUCAUUGAUUUAACGAAAAAAAUUAAUGAAAUUGAUAAUAAAAAGAUAAAAAUGAAGCCACAGAGUACUAAAUUGAUACAGUUUAAACCACAUGGUACUAAAGUGAGAAAGUGUGAAACCACAGGGUGGCAUUUGAAGUUUUUUUCUUAUUUUAUGAG
rnacentral:lncRNA from 1 species